UGGCGCAGCCGGUUGAGCCUGCAACUAUAAAUUGCAAGGUCGCGGGUUCAAUCCCCGC
rnacentral:tRNA from 1 species